GCACUGCUGAAGAGUCCCAUGCUAGGACGAAACGACCGUCCAGUGC
rfam:Schistosoma curassoni strain Dakar, Senegal genome assembly, scaffold: SCTD_contig0001439